AGCAUGGGGCUAGUACUUUGGAAGUUGAGUGAUUUGUCUCUUUGGUGGUAGUGUCUUCCUGGUGCAUUUGUUAAGUGUUCAAAUGGGCCUGACUCUGCCACAUACAUUAUGUAGGAGCUGGCAAAGGCUUAGAGACAAAGUCUUUCUUGAGUGUUUCCUAAUAACAGACUGGCUCCCAUAUGUGACAGCUCUCAUAAGUUUAAGUCCUACAGCCAAUCCAAUGGAGGCUGUUUGGCCUGAGGAAAAUCUAUGCUGAGGGGUGUUUCUCCACCCCAGUGAUGGGUUUGCUACUUCCCUAGGGCUUUAAAGACUCAACUUCUUUGGAACCAAUACAAAGAGUUUUUUUUUUCUAUUCCUCCCACACCAACCCAGGUCAUUCCUGUGCCCCUCAGCUGCUGUGUUACAGAUGACAUUAAAGACGCCUUCAUUACCCAGGCACAGGAGCAACAGAUAGAGCUGUUGGAAAUUCCAGAACAUUCAGACAUAAAGCAGAUUGCACAGCCAGGAGCAGCGUAUUUUUAUGUUGAACUUGACACAGGAGAAAAGCUUUUCCACAGAAUUAAAAAGAAUUUUCCAUUGCAAUUUGGGAGGGAGGUGCUGGCCAGUGAAGCUAUUCUCAACAUUCCUGAGAAGGCUGACUGGAGGCAGUGUCAAACCAGUAAGGAUGAGGAGGAGGCCCUGGCUCGCCGCUUCAGGAAAGACUUUGAACCCUUUGACUUCACUCUGGAUGACUAGCCAAAGGGAAGGGCACAGCACAGGUCACACUGAUGGCACAGAAGAUUGUUCCAGCCUGUUCUGAAAGUGAAACUACAGUCUCUCGUAGGGGCUGCCCCCUUCCUCUUUUUCAGUAUAUUCCCAUGGACCCGCCUGCAGUAGGAGGCCUCUGACCUUUUUUUUUUUUUUUUUUUUUUUUUUUUUUUGGUUCUUUUUUUUGGAGCUGGGGACCGAACCCAGGGCCUUGCGCUUCCUAGGUAAGCGCUCUACCACUGAGCUAAAUCCCCAGCCCCGCCUCUGACCUUUUUAAAAGAAGUCAUUUUGAGAUUCAAUAUGUUAAAAGAACAUCUGCUACAUAUUUCUAAGACAGCUCUGUUUCUCCACAUCCUCACAAACUUUUAAACCUUUCACAUUGGGUAUGGUAGCUCCUGCUUCUAAUCUCAGAAAUUGAGGAGUUAUGGCAGGAGGAUUGCUGUGAAUUCAAGGCUAGUCUGGACUACACCGUGAGUUUCAGGACAGUCUGGUCUAUGGUGUGAGACCCAUCUCGCCUCCCCAUCCUCACCUUCACCUCCCCAAAAUGUAAAAAUAAUGUCCCUCAAAUCUUGUAAUAAAAAGGGAACACUUUACUAAGGUUG
rnacentral:lncRNA from 1 species